GACGAACGCUGGCGGCGUGCUUAACACAUGCAAGUCGAACGGAAAGGCCCUGCUUUUGUGGGGUGCUCGAGUGGCGAACGAGUGAGUAACACGUGAGUAACCUGCCCUUGACUUUGGGAUAACUUCAGGAAACUGGGGCUAAUACCGGAUAGGAGCUCCUGCUGCAUGGUGGGGGUUGGAAAGUUUCGGCGGUUGGGGAUGGACUCGCGGCUUAUCAGCUUGUUGGUGGGGUAGUGUCUUACCAAGGCUUUGACGGGUAGCCGGCCUGAGAGGGUGACCGGCCACAUUGGGACUGAGAUACGGCCCAGACUCCUACGGGAGGCAGCAGUGGGGAAUAUUGCACAAUGGGCGGAAGCCUGAUGCAGCAACGCCGCGUGCGGGAUGACGGCCUUCGGGUUGUAAACCGCUUUCGCCUGUGACGAAGCGUGAGUGACGGUAAUGGGUAAAGAAGCACCGGCUAACUACGUG
rnacentral:rRNA from 1 species